GAGGAUUCUCAAGAGAGGAGCUCCAGAAGCGUACACAGAGUGACAGGAACAUCAGGAAAGGCAGCAUUUCCACUUUUGCAACCCUGCCAGGAAUGCUCCAGCUGGAGGAGUGGGUCAAAAGAAGCUCAGAAGCCAGGCAAAGGGUGGUGGACAGGCUGCAAAACAGAGGAAGCCAGACGAACGGUUGAGCCUGCGAGGGGACCACAGAGCAGGUAAUGGUGCCCAAUACGUGCCAUAAGAUGCUCGAGCCAUCAGAGGCAUUUUCGGGGAGGAAGUACCGUCUAACUGUUAGAGCAAGGAUGAUGAAGGGGAAGUUGAGCUAGAGGGAGAGAAGGCAGGCCGUUAGGAAGUU